CACUAGUGUAUAUUAAAGUUGUUGCAGUUAAAAAGCUCGUAGUUGAACUUCUGUACGGUUCUAGGUGAACUUUGUUUGUCUAGGAUCGUGCAUCCGCUUGUGAUCCAUUCUCAUCCUUUACUGGUUGGUUUGGGGAGCAGGCAUUUUACUUUGAAAAAAUUAGAGUGUUCAAAGCAGGCUAACGCUUGUAUAGAUUAGCAUGGAAUAAUAGAACAGGACUCUUGUUCAUUUUGUUGGUUAUUGGACGAGAGUAAUGAUUAAUAGGGACAGUUGGGGGCAUUUGUAUUUAAUUGUCAGAGGUGAAAUUCUUGGAUUUAUUAAAGACAAACUUAUGCGAAAGCAUUUGCCAAGGAUGUUUUCAUUAA
rnacentral:rRNA from 1 species